rnacentral:rRNA from 1 species
ACAUGCAGUCGAGCGAAUGGAUUAAGAGCUUGCUCUUAUGAAGUUAGCGGCGGACGGGUGAGUAACACGUGGGUAACCUGCCCAUAAGACUGGGAUAACUCCGGGAAACCGGGGCUAAUACCGGAUAAUAUUUUGAACUGCAUGGUUCGAAAUUGAAAGGCGGCUUCGGCUGUCACUUAUGGAUGGACCCGCGUCGCAUUAGCUAGUUGGUGAGGUAACGGCUCACCAAGGCAACGAUGCGUAGCCGACCUGAGAGGGUGAUCGGCCACACUGGGACUGAGACACGGCCCAGACUCCUACGGGAGGCAGCAGUAGGGAAUCUUCCGCAAUGGACGAAAGUCUGACGGAGCAACGCCGCGUGAGUGAUGAAGGCUUUC